UACAGAGGCCUCAAGCGUUGUUCGGAUUCAUUGGGCGUAAAGGGUGCGUAGGUGGCGGGGUAAGUCAGGUGUGAAAUCUCGGGGCUCAACCCCGAAACUGCACUUGAUACUGCCUUGCUCGAGUACUGGAGAGGAGAUUGGAAUUUACGGUGUAGCAGUGAAAUGCGUAGAUAUCGUAAGGAAGACCAGUGGCGAAGGCGAAUCUCUGGACAGUUACUGACACUGAGGCACGAAGGCCAGGGGAGCAAACGGG
rnacentral:rRNA from 1 species